CGUAACACGUAAGGAACCUGCCCUGGAGUGGGGGAUAACAGCCCGAAAGGGUUGCUAAUACCGCAUACGGACAUCGGAUCGCAUGUUUUGAUGUCCAAAGCCUUGUGCGCUUCAGGAUGGUCUUGCGGCCUAUCAGCUUGUUGGUGGGGUAACGGCCUACCAAGGCUUUGACGGGUAGCUGGUCUGAGAGGACGAUCAGCCGGAUUGGGACUGAGAUACGGCCCAG
rnacentral:rRNA from 1 species